rnacentral:rRNA from 1 species
AUGCCGUCCCUUCGAGCGGCCAUGGCGGACGGCGCCGACCGCGUCGAGGCCACGACGAUCGGCAACGACAAGGAGACCCUGCUGAGCCUGCUCCGCGCCAAGUCGGAGCGGAGCGCCGAGGCGGAGGAGAAGGUGGAGUGGGUGCGAUCGCAGAUGGUCGGCCGCGACGCAGAGUUCGACACGCCGUUCGGCCGCCGCGCCCUCGUCUACGCCGACCACACCGCCUCCGGGCGCGGCCUACGCUACAUCGAGGACUACAUCCUCACACAAGUCCUCCCCUUCUACGGGAAUACGCACACGGAGGACAGCUACGUCGGUAGCAGGACGACGAAGAUGGUGAGGACGGCGGCGAGCUACAUCAAGCGGUGCAUGGGCGCCGGUGCCGACGACGCGCUGAUCUUCUGCGGCUCCGGCGCCACGGCGGCGGUGAAGCGGCUGCAGGAGGUGAUGGGGAUGGCCGCGCCGCCGGGGCCGCUUCUGCGGGCGAGGCUGCUCUCGCAGCUGCGCGCCGAGGAGCGGUGGGUGGUCUUCGUGGGACCCUACGAGCACCACUCCAACCUGCUGUCGUGGCGGCAGAGCCUGGCGGACGUCGUGGAGGUCGGCGCCGGCGACGACGGGCUCGUCGACCUCGCCGCGCUCCGGCGCGCGCUGGGCUCCCCCGAGUACGCGAAGCGGCCCAUGCUGGGGUCAUUCUCGGCGUGCAGCAACGCCACCGGCAUCGUCACCGAUACCCGAGCGAUCGCGCGCGUCCUGCACCAGCAUGGGGCUUUCGCCUGCUUCGACUUUGCCGCGAGCGGGCCCUACGUGGAGAUCGACAUGAGGUCGGGCGACAUGGACGGCUACGACGCCGUGUUCCUCAGCCCGCACAAGUUCCCCGGCGGCCCCGGCACGCCGGGCCUCCUGCUCAUGAACCGCUCCCUCUACCGCCUCGCCUCGCUGCCGCCCACCACGUGCGGCGGCGGCACCGUCGCCUACGUCAACGCCCGCAGCGAGGACGACACGGUGUACCUCGACGACGUGGAGGAGCGCGAGGACGCCGGCACGCCGCCCAUCACGCAGAAGGUGCGCGCCUCGCUCGCGUUCUGGGUCAAGGAGCACGUCGGGCUCGGCGCCAUCGCGCUCCGCGAGCGCGUCCACGCCGACGCCGCCAUGCGGUGGCUCCUGUCCAACCCCGCCGUCAAGGUGCUCGGCAGCGUCGAGGCGCGCCGCCUGCCGAUAUUCUCGUUCCUCGUCUACCCCGGCGGCGACACGACGCUGGGGAGGAGGCGUCGGCGGCUGCCACUCCACGGGCGGUUUGUCGCCAAGCUCAUGAACGAUCUGUUCGGCAUCCAGGCCAGGGGCGGCUGCGGCUGCGCGAGCCCGUACGGGCACGCCCUCCUCGGCGUCGGCGAGGAGCUCUCCCUUCGGAUCCGCUCCGCCAUUCUUAAGGGCUAUCACGGUGUGAAGCCGGGAUGGACGAGGGUGAGCUUCGCCUACUACCUCCCACCGGAGGAGUUCCGGUUCAUCCUCGCCGCCAUCGACUUCGUCGCGGCGCACGGCCACCGGUUUCUGCCGCUGUACAAUUUCGACUGGGCCACCGGCAACUGGACCUUCCGGCGCCGUGCGGUCAAGCACCACCUCAUGCUGGAGGAGCUGCUGCAUGGUCAUGGUAGCUCUAACACGAAGAUGAAGGGGAGCAAGACUGCUGGCGACAGCGACAAGUUCGAGGGCUACCUGGAGUUUGCCACCAAGGUCGCGCUGUCGCUGCCGGAGACGUGUGAUGAGCAGCAGGUUCCCGAAGGAAUCGACCCUGACAUUGUACUUUUUCGAGUGUGA